rnacentral:piRNA from 3 species
UGGAAGUGACUGGUCUGAUGUUGAGG